GGGGGUAUGGCGGAAUUGGUAGACGCUGCGGACUUAAAAUCCGUUGAUCUUUCGGUUGUGAGGGUUCAAUUCCCUCUACCCCCA
rnacentral:tRNA from 1 species